GCCAGGUGUGGUGGCGCACACCUGUAAUCCCAGCUACCUGGGAGGCUAAGGCAGGAGAAUCGCUUGAACCCAGGGGGCGGAGGUUGCGGCGGGCCGAGAUCACGCCACUGCACUCCAGCCUGGGUGACAGAACGAGACUCUGUCUUAA
rnacentral:SRP_RNA from 2 species